rnacentral:rRNA from 1 species
UACAGGGGGGGCAAGCGUUGUUCGGAAUUACUGGGCGUAAAGGGCUCGUAGGCGGCCAACUAAGUCCGACGUGAAAUCCCAAAGCUUAACUUUGGAACUGCGUCGGAUACUGGAUGGCUUGAAUUCGGGAGAGGGAUGCAGAAUUCCAGGUGUAGCGGUGAAAUGCGUAGAUAUCUGGGGGAAUACCGGUGGCGAAGGCGGCAUCCUGGACCGACAUUGACGCUGAUGAGCGAAAGCUAGGGGAGCAAACGGG